GACGGAGGAGGCAAGCGUUAUCCGGAAUUAUUGGGCGUAAAGCGUCCGCAGGCGGUUAGUUAAGUGUGUUGUCAAAGUUCACAGCUCAAAUGUGGGAGGGUAAUGGAAACUGAUUAACUUGAGUGUGGUAGGGGUAGAGGGAAUUCCCGGUGUAGGGGUGAAAUGCGUAGAUAUCGGGAAGAACACCAGUGGCGAAGGCGCUCUACUGGGCCAUAAACGACGCUGAGGGACGAAAGCUAGGGGAGCGAAAUUG
rnacentral:rRNA from 1 species